rnacentral:lncRNA from 12 species
UUUUAAAGUAAAUAUUGUUGGUUUAAGAUGUUUAUAGUUAUAUGAUUUCUUUAUAAGCUGAAACAUCUGUGCCUGAGCCAUCACCAUACUGCAUUCAGAGAGUAAUCAAAACUAGUUCCAGUGCAUUGAAGAAAGGAUUUCUGAAUCAAUGGAAAUUAAGAAUGGCUGCUAUGUAAAUAUAUUCAGAGCACUGUGGAGUCAAAAGUUUGUCGUGGAUUAAGAGAGUUGAAAUUUGAAGAUGGGAAAAAAUGCAGGAAUUUAGGAAGGGAACCCACUGCCAAAGUCCACUCUGUGACAACACUUGAAGAAACCUCAGUGGUGAAACCAACAGACAGGAGAAGGGACAAGUGUUCCAUCUCUGGACACAUGCAAAUAACCCCGGUGUUAUCAAUGUCAGGGAUGGGUAGUGAGAUCCUUCCUAAGUAUGCAAGCCUGGGGAAAAGGGCAUGUAAUCUGUAUUAUUACUUGAACUGCUGUGGCAGCUCUACUUGUGUUAAGAGACUCACAGAUUCUCCUCUUCGUGGUUGUCAUCAGUUUUAAUUCUCUAAAUCAUGGACAGAGAUACGUGGAUACUGGUAAGUGUGUGUGUAAAUGAGGGAGACAGAGACAGAGACAGAGGUAGACAGAAAGAGAUCAAGAGAGAUACAGAAGAUUGACGAUGAGAGUUUGUGUGUUUAUAUCUGGGGUAGGUGGUGUAAGGGAUUAAGGGAGGGUAGAAUCCAAAGAAAGGAAGGAAAUGUGUUUAUUGCACAAAUACCUUAACAUAAUCAUUGGAGUAAUCUAAUUUUUCAUUUUCCCACGGAUCAUUUCUGAUAGCUGGGAGAGAGUAUCACAAGAAGGCUAUUAGUAAAGGCAAAGGAACAGAGAUGAUCCAUACUUAAGGUUCAGGAAAUACUGAAAUUUGGCUUUUUAACCCAUUGCCAGAUGUAUACAUAUUAUGUAAACUAAUGCAACAUUGUGGUUCUGAGGCCAAGUUACCCAUUUUUCAUUAUACCCUGGGUUAUGGUUAUAUAUACUGUAUUUAAAAAAAAUAUUUAUUUAUUUGAGAUAAAGGGAGA